rnacentral:sRNA from 16 species
ACAGGUAGGAAUAAAGAGCCAACAUGAUAUGAAUGAGAGUGCCGUUAAAUCAACGUUUUUCAACUUACAAAAUGCUUGAAUUUCAUUAAAAAUGAUAUGGAUCCCCCUACCAAAAUAAAACCCUGCUGAGAUGAUACUUGGCAGGGAAUUUUUU